AGUAAGUUGUGCGGUCGCGCGGUAUGAUGUUACCGUGAGGAAAGUCCGAGCACCGCAGAGCAGGAUAACGGCUAACGGCCGCCGGGGGUGACCCUAGGGAAAGUGCAACAGAGAGAUACCGCCGCGGUUUUCGCGGUAAGGGUGGAAAGGCGAGGUAAGAGCUCACCGGCGCAUUGGAGACAGUGCGGCCAUGUAAACCCUAUCCGGUGCAACAUUGACAAGGGGCAUACGUCUGCUCGGCGUUACCCUGAAAAAUGGCUAGAGGCGUGUGGCAACACCCGUCCCAGAUAGAUGAUCGCACACGACAGAACUCGGCUUACAGACUUACUCU
rnacentral:RNase_P_RNA from 1 species